UCGAUCUGCUGAGGACAAAUAAAGUGAAUAUGCGCAUCAAUUCCACCAGCAGUAACGAUUUGGCCCUCACCGGCAACCACUUCAGUUCCUGGACCAAUUACUAUAGAGACUCCAUCUUGAAUAUCAGGGUUUCCCGCCUUGCCAAUACCAACUAUUCUUCCAUCGUCAAUUCCAAUAUCUGCCUUAACAAUACCCCAGUGAUCCAGAAUGAGAGCAUUGGUAAUUACCAGAUCAACUGUCUCUGAGCUGCCUAGCUGACUCUGGCCCAUGCCGUCUCG
rnacentral:sRNA from 1 species